UCGUUUUUGUAAAUCGUAGUCACAUUGUAUUGAUUCGCUCCCUCGUUUUAGUAAAUAAUGGACACAUUGUACUGAUUCAUUCCCUCGUUUUAGUAAAUCGUGGUAAUGUUGUACUGAUUCAUUCCCUCGUUUUAGUAAAUCAUAGUCACAUUGUACUGAUUUGUUCCCUUGUUUUUGUAAAUCAUAGUCACAUUGUACUGAUUUGUUCCAACAUUUUAGUAAAUCAUGGUCACAUUGUACUUAUUAGUUUCCUCGUUUUAGUAAAUCGUAGUCACAUUGUACUGAUUUGCUCCCUCGUUUUAGUAAAUAGUGGCAAUGUUGUACUGAUUCGUUCCCUCAUUUUUGUAAAUUGUAAUCACAUUGUACUGAUUAAUUCCCUCAUUUUAGUAAAUCAUGGCCACACUGUACUGAUUCAUUCCCUCGUUUUUGUAAAUCGUAGUCAGAUUGUAUUGAUUCGUUCUCUCCUUUUAGUAAGUUGUAGUCACGUUGUACUGAUUCAUUCCCUCAUUUUAGUAAAUCAUGGACACGUUGUACUGAUUCAUUCCCUCAUUUUAGUAAAUCGUGGCCAUGUUGUAUUGAUUUGUUCUCUCAUUUUUGUAAAUCGUAGUCACAUUGUACUGAUUUGUUCCAACAUUUUAGUAAAUCAUGGUCACAUUGUACUUAUUAGUUUCCUCGUUUUAGUAAAUUGUGGACACGUUGUACUGAUUCAUUCCCUCUUUUUAGUAAAUCAUAGUUACGUUGUACCGUUUUGCUCCCUCGUUUUAGUAAAUCGUGGCAAUGUUGUACUGAUUCAUUCCCUCGUUUUUGUAAAUUGUAGUCACAUUGUACUGAUUCGUUCCCUUGUUUUUGUAAAUCAUAGUCACAUGGUACUGAUUCAUACCCUUGUUUUUAGUAAACUGUGGCCAAGUUGUACUGAUUUGUUCCAACAUUUUAGUAAAUCAUGGUCACAUUGUACUGAUUAGUUUCCUUGUUUUAGUAAAUCCUGGACAUGUUGUAAAACUUCAUCCCAUUGGUUUAGUAAUUAGUGGCCAUGUUGUACUGAUUCGUUCCCUUGCUUAGUCACAUUGUGGCCAUGCUGUACAAAUUCAUUCUCUAAUUUUACUUUAGUUAUAUGAUUUAAUUCACUAAAACCAGGAAACAAAUUAGUUCACUGUAAAAGAUGCAACUGCGCAUUUUCCAGUUUACGAAAUCU
rnacentral:lncRNA from 1 species